rnacentral:lncRNA from 1 species
AAGGAAAAAAAAAGGAAAGUAGACCUUUUGUUUCAACUAUAAUUAUAACAACUUUUCUUCUCUUUAGAAGAAACAAAUGAAUAUGCAAUAGUAGUGCAAUAUAUAAUAAGAACUAAAGUUGGACAUCCUAAAAAACUUACACAUUAAUCUUAUGAACAGAUAAGCAUUAUAACACAUCUUCUAAGUAUAUAAAACCUUCCUCUACCUUCUUUAAGAAGAGCACCAAUUCUUUUUCCCAUUAAUCUUCCUUUAGAGACUUUAAUUCUCUCAGUUUCUAUCUUCAUCUUCUUAUCUGCAUGUAUCAACUUAGGAUUUUG